AGUAGAACGCAAAUAAGGUUGAGGUUGAGCAGUGGGACAACUCAAAAGCUCAUUGAACAGUUCUUGUUUAUCUACCACGUGCCUGGGUGGCACUGUUGUUCUAAGUGCCUGGAGUCUUGUGAUUACAAGACAGACAGGGUCCCUGUCCUUGUGCAACUUAAGACGACCGAAUACCCAAGUAGAGUUAAAACUGGGAGAUAGUCACCACUGAAGAGGAGGUGACUCAGUGCCUAUAAGGAACUCAGGGGCUUCUUGAAAGAGAGACAUCAAAGCCCCAAACUCCAAUCACCAUGAUUCAAAGUUAGGAUGCAUUCAUCAAGUAGUGUUGAUUAAAGUCUUCUAAAAGGAGAAUGGGCCAAGAAUUGCAAGAGUAGAAUGCACCAGGAAAGAUGUCAACUCAGAAUUCAUGGAGGUGGAGAGGAGAGUUCUAAAUAGGUGCCUGAUUAGAUGUAGCUCAAAUGCCAGCUCCCUCCCUCACAUUUGGAAGCACAAGCUUAUGGAUGGCAUUUACAGCGUGUAAUGCAGAAUGGAUACAGCACUUCCUACAGUGGGAAGAUCCAGAAACUGAGCUAAUCUGUGGAAGCAGGAGCCCAUGGUGCCUUUCGGAGGUGUUUGCACUGAUUACAUCAACUCCUCCUUGUCUUCUCCCGUCUCAGUAAAGUCUACAAAUAGACAGCAUCUUUGUGCAGGUGGGUUUUCUGUGGAAAAUGGAGAAGAAUCAAGUUUCACCUCUGCGUUCAUUCAAUAAUCUAUGGGAAAGUCUUUGAAUUUAUAUAGGCUAUAGAAUUGGGAAUGUGUUUUAAUCCAGUUCUACGUAGAUCUUAAGAGGUGGGAGAAGCUCCUUGUUGGCAUCUGGGUUGUACACAUUAUCUGAAAAAUAAGCUAAAAUUUUUUGAACUACAGUGGAGAAUGGAAGUGGCUGUAACUAGCCUAUGAAUUCUUUGAGGAGGCACUGUUCUCAAUCCUUGCUAUUCAAACAGAGUGGUCCAAGGUACAACAGCAUCAGCACCACCUGGAAGUGUAUUAGAAACACAGAUUUCCAGGGUCAAUCACAGACCUGCUGACUGAGAAUCUGCAUUUCAGUAAAAUCCCUGAUGCACACUGAGAAGCCCUGUGAGUCUGGUACUACGCCUUACUCACUGCCGAAGGAGAGGAAAGAUGCAAGGCAGGAAGGCAGGAGACAAUCUUAUUUUGAAACUUCUUACAUUAGAUUAUCCAUAAAUAAAUAUUUUAAGACUUUAUAAAAAAGGUGA